rnacentral:rRNA from 1 species
UACGUAGGGUGCUAGCGUUGUCCGGAUUUAUUGGGCGUAAAGAGCUCGUAGGCGGUUUGUUGCGUCCGCUGUGAAAGCCCGGGGCUUAACCCCGGGUCGGCAGUGGAUACGGGCAGGCUAGAGGUAGGUAGGGGAGAAUGGAAUUCCCGGUGUAGCGGUGAAAUGCGCAGAUAUCGGGAGGAACACCAGUGGCGAAGGCGGCUCACUGGACCGGAACUGACGCUGAGGCGCGAAAGCGUGGGGAGCAAACAGG